rnacentral:rRNA from 1 species
AUUGAACGCUGGCGGCAUGCCUUACACAUGCAAGGUCGAACGGGCAGCGGGCCUUCGGGUGCCGGCGAGUGGCGAACGGGUGAGUAAUGCAUCGGAACGUGCCAUUGAGUGGGGGAUAACGUAGCGAAAGUUGCGCUAAUACCGCAUAUUCUGUGAGCAGGAAAGCAGGGGACCGCAAGGCCUUGCGCUCUUUGAGCGGCCGAUGUCAGAUUAGCUAGUUGGUGAGGUAAAGGCUUACCAAGGCGACGGAUCUGUAGCAGGUCCUGAGAGGAUGAUCCGCCACACUGGAACUGAGACACGGUCCAGACUCCUAC